ACGCGAGCUGGGUUCAGAACGUCGUGAGACAGUUCGGUCCCUAUCUGCCAUGGGCGUUGGAGAUUUGAGGUGGGCUGCUCCUAGUACGAGAGGACCGGAGUGGACGUACCGCUGGUGUUCCGGUUGUCAUGCCAAUGGCAUUGCCGGGUAGCUAUGUACGGAAACGAUAACCGCUGAAAGCAUCUAAGCGGGAAGCGUGCACCAAGAUGAGAUCUCCCGGGGCUUCAAGCCCCCUAAAGGAACCUCGAAGACUACGAGGUUGAUAGGCGCGGUGUGGAAGUGCAGCAAUGCAUUGAGCUAACGCGUACUAAUGAUCCGUGCGGCUUGACCAUAUAACCCCAAG
rnacentral:rRNA from 1 species